UACAGAGGUCUCAAGCGUUGUUCGGAUUCAUUGGGCGUAAAGGGUGCGUAGGUGGCGCGGUAAGUCGGGUGUGAAAUUUCGGAGCUUAACUCCGAAACUGCAUUCGAUACUGCCGUGCUUGAGGACUGGAGAGGAGACUGGAAUUUACGGUGUAGCAGUGAAAUGCGUAGAGAUCAUGAGGAAGACCAGUGGCGAAGGCGGGUCUCUGGACAGUUCCUGACACUGAGACACGAAGGCCAGGGGAGCAAACGGG
rnacentral:rRNA from 1 species